UACGUAGGGUGCAAGCGUUGUCCGGAAUUAUUGGGCGUAAAGAGCUCGUAGGCGGUUUGUCGCGUCUGCUGUGAAAACUCGGGGCUUAACUCCGGGCCUGCAGUGGGUACGGGCAGACUAGAGUGCGGUAGGGGAGACCGGAAUUCCUGGUGUAGCGGUGAAAUGCGCAGAUAUCAGGAGGAACACCGGUGGCGAAGGCGGGUCUCUGGGCCGGAACUGACGCUGAGGAGCGAAAGCGUGGGGAGCGAACAGG
rnacentral:rRNA from 1 species